GCCGGGUGUGGUGGCUCACGCCUGUAAUCCCAGCACUUUGGGAGGCUGAGGUGGGGGGAUCACCUGAGGUCAGGCUGACCAACAUGGUGAAACCCCAUCUCUA
rfam:Chlorocebus sabaeus isolate 1994-021 chromosome 6, whole genome shotgun sequence.